rnacentral:rRNA from 1 species
UACGAAGGGGGCUAGCGUUGCUCGGAAUCACUGGGCGUAAAGGGUGCGUAGGCGGGUCUUUAAGUCAGGGGUGAAAGCCUGGAGCUCAACUCCAGAACUGCCUUUGAUACUGGCGAUCUUGAGACCGGGAGAGGUGAGUGGAACUGCUAGUGUAGAGGUGAAAUUCGUAGAUAUUAGCAAGAACACCAGUGGCGAAGGCGGCUCACUGGCCCGGUACUGACGCUGAGGUACGAAAGCGUGGGGAGCAAACAGG